rnacentral:rRNA from 1 species
AGCAGCCGCGGUAAUUCCAGCUCCAAUAGCGUAUAUUAAAGUUGUUGCAGUUAAAAAGCUCGUAGUUGAAUUUCGGGAUCAAUAUGUUGGUCGUGCCUUUGGUACGUACUAGUUUAUUGGUUUCUUCCUUCUGACGAACCACGAUGUCAUUAAUUUGGUGUCAUGGGGAAUCAGGACUGUUACUUUGAAAAAAUUAGAGUGUUUAAAGCAGGCUUCACGCUUGAAUACAUUAGCAUGGAAUAAUGAAAUAGGACGUUUGAUUCUAUUUUGUUGGUUUCUAGGAUCGACGUAAUGAUUAAUAGGGAUAGUUGGGGGCAUUAGUAUUCAAUUGUCAGAGGUGAAAUUCUUGGAUUUAUUGAAGACUAACUACUGCGAAAGCAUUUGCCAAGGAUGUUUUCAUUAAUCAAGAACGAAAGUUAGGGGAUCGAAGACGAUCAGAUACCGUCGUAGUCUUAACCAUAAACUAUGCCGACUAGGGAUCGGAUGAUGUUAAUUUUUAAUGACUCAUUCGGCGCCUUAC